CACAUGGUCACCCAGCCAGAGACUGCAUUUUUCAUCCUUCCUUGAAGUGUGGGGCUCUGACUGAGGGCAAAUGAUGCCUGGAACCUCCUAAAGAGGAACCUCUUAUACAGGACUUGCUUUUCAUCCUCCCCGCAGGCUGGAAAUCUGACGAGACAGUAGCCCAGCCUCAACCAGAGGUGAAGUGGACACUCUAGGGAUGGUGCAGAAACAAGCUGGAAGCAAGCUGGGGUGGCUGGUGGAGCAGAGCACCCCCGCCCCACCCCGCACUAACCAGACUGUCAGGAAAGAGAGAAAGAAAGCUGACUGACGUAAGCCGGUGUGGAGGCUCCUUGCACCUCCUUAAUGCACGUGGCUUUACAGGAGGGGGUCAUUUCACAGAGAUGCAAGAACAUGCACCUUGGCCAACAGCUCAGCCGUCAGAGCAGUCAGGUCCCCAAGUGGGAGACCACGCUGGGGCAGGCAGCCUUGGAGGGAAUGCUGAUGCCCCUCAUAGACUACAACACGCUCUCAUAGACACCUUUUCAUUUGAUCCUCACCACAAAUAUAGGGGAAAGAAUUAACUUUAUUCCCUGUUUGAGAAACUAGGUCUCAAAUAAGUGUCAUGCUCCUGUUAAUAAGUGACACAGAGCCAAAAGCUUUGCGUCAUUCUCGGUCUCCCUGGAAAAGGAGCUACAGGGAAACUUGAGGCCAACCAAGGCGUUCCUGACAGACGACUUCCCCAUUCUUGUAGGGCAGCAUGGUUCCAAGGUCCAGUCUCAGCCUCAUCUGGAUAGGGUAAAUAACGCAGAAAUUCAAGGAAACUUGCUCUAAAUCACCCCAGCUCCGUGCUUCGCCCACCUUCGGUUCAAGUGGGAAUAACCAACAGCCCUAUGACUAUGACCUAGGCUUCCUCUAUUGAAGUCACAUUUUAAUAAAAUUCGUGGCCUAUAGCACGCUCAUGCUCUUGUUGGAGCCUCAUGACAAACUUGAGUGUAUUUUAUUUUUCCAUUUUUUAUAGGUGGAGAAACUGAGGCUGAGAGAGAUUAAGCUUCUUGCCUACGGUACCACAGUAAAUAGGUGAGAUCCUCCAUGUCGAAGGCUCAGCUCCAUGUCUAACACUUUUGAGGUGUGCAAUAAAAUAUUAGUUCCUAUUUUCAAUGGUAGGUUGGGACUUAAGUUGAAGUCUCCUUGCUAUGCAUUCACUAUUCCUCUUGGCCCCCGUCUGGUAGCCUUGCCUUUCCCAUCACCCCGUCCCUGAGGCUGCCUUGGGAACCUGCCCAGUAAUUAUGAUGGCAUCACUGACGUGGUGCUUCCUCUGUGCCAGGAACGUUCCAUGUGCUUCCAUUCAUUGACUAGUGGCCAUACUCUCCAGCCACAGACCACCAGGAGCACACCUGGAGGUGAACAUCCGGUUGAUUGAUUCGUUGCCAUGAGCGAGCACGCACGUUACAGAGAGCCACGGGGGUUCCACGAGAGGUGUUCGAAGGACUGAGAGGAUGUGCACUGGAGUCAGGUCUCUUCGCACUGCGUAUUGUGGGUUGUUCUUCCAGCGGGAAGGCCCGUGUGUAGCCCAGCCCCCCGGGCCCAGGAGAUGCCCCAGAGACAGAGCCCCUCGGAUAUCUGGCAGCUAAUGAGGAAUGAAACACUUCCAGCUUCUGCACCAACGUCGAAGGCUAAACCCAAGAGAGGAGUGCCGCUGACUGCCGCUCGGAGCCACAGCAUCGCAGCGAGGCAAGGACCUACUCCUCCUCCUGUGACAUCCCGACAGGUGCUCACCCAGCUUGUGCUCACACAUCCUCAGUGGCAGGGAGCUCACUACCUCAUAAGGCACUCGAUGGGGCAGACGCCGUCUUCCUGGGGAUCGAAUGACCACAGAAGGAAAAUAACUUAGAACAGGCAGCUCUUCAUUCUUCCUCAGCUGGUGUUUUUCCUCCAGAGCCUGGAAAGAAAUGUGGCCCAUGCACACCUUAAAUUGGACCAUCAAUUACUCGUGUCUUGAAUAUGCAGAGCUCAUUAGGGCUGUGUUGGCCACAGGAGAGUACCUGAGCUGAGAACAGUAAACUUGCCUCAGCCCUUUCAAUGCAGGCUGCCCCUCCACAGCGGAGCCGGCCUGGGGUUGCCAGGCACUAAUGUGA